rnacentral:rRNA from 1 species
CGGGAAUUUUGGGCAAUGGGCGAAAGCCUGACCCAGCAACGCCGCGUGAAGGAUGAAAUCCUUCGGGAUGUAAACUUCGCAUGAACGGGAAGAAUAAGUAAGGGUUAAUAUCUCUUACGAUGACGGUACUGUUUGUAAGCUCCGGCUAACUCCGUGCCAGCAGCCGCGGUAAUACGUAGGUGGCAAGCGAUACUCGGAAUCACUAGGCGUAAAGCGCAGGUAGGCGGUUCGGUAAGUCUUUUGUGAAAGCUCCCGGCUCAACUGGGAGAGGUCAAGGGAAACUACCGGGCUAGAGUUUGGUAGGGGAUACUGGAAUUCCUGGUGUAGCGGUGAAAUGCGUAGAUAUCAGGAGGAAUACCUAUGGCGAAAGCAGGUAUCUGGGCCACAACUGACGCUGAGCUGCGAAAGCUAGGGGAGCAAAC